AUUUCGGUAACUACGUGAUUGAUAUCUUU
rnacentral:sRNA from 1 species